CCUAAACCCCCCAAUCCUCCCUCUUCCUACCAGGAAGCAUCUCCCCCCUUACCCCCCCCCCCCAUUUGUGUGUGAGCAUGCGGGCAGAGGUUGCCUAUAGGAGGAAGCCGAUGGCUGCAGCAUCCAGCGCAUUAUUACCUUGCGAUGCCAUGACCCUCCUCCAUGCAUCCCUAACUCUUUAAAGCUGAUUCAGCUAGCGCUCUGGAGGCUCCCCUGCUGCAACAGAAUCUCCUCACUGGUAAACCGCAACCAGCCUCAGAUGCUACAGAGUUCAACUAGAUGGCUUUUUUCCUAACACUGAAAGAAAGAAAGAAAGAAAGUCAAGACAUUCUCUUUCUGGGGCUCUUCUCUUUGAGAAGCGGAGGAAAUCCUGGACUUACUAGGGGGAAGGUGGUGGUGUGACAGUGAGGUGCUUAUUGAUGAGAAUGAACCCAUUCAAGGUUAACU